CCCCACCCCGACCUCCCCUCGCCGCUGCCCCCGGCCUCGCCUCAGGGCGUUCCCGCUGCCCGGUCUCACGGCCGCACAAGGCCCCAACGUCCGGAGCCACCGGCCCCGAGCCCCGGCGGCCCAGAGCUGAGACUCACCCAUGGUGCUGCUGUUGACGCUCCUCUCCUCAGCAGGAGCGGAUCUCGCACUGACCGACAUCCCCUCCCCCUCCGCGACAGCUCAGGCGCAGCGUAGCCCGCCGAUUCUCCAAAGCCGCCUACGCCGAUUCCGCGGCGUAGCCGCCCGGCGUCGCUCACCCGCUUACGCACGCGAGAAUAGGCGGACUCCUGCACUGACUCUCGCCUGACUCCCGCUCCCUCCUCUGCCCCCCCACCCCCCACCCCACACCCCCCACCCCCCACCCGCCUCCUCAGACGAGGCUUCCGGGCCGAGCAGAGGCUAGCUUCGAUCUCGCGAGAUUAUUCCCUUGCCUGCCCCGCCGUUUCUCUCCAUUUCGGGUAUGACUUCAUCGGCCUCGGCGCCGUUUUGCUGCUCGGGCCUAACCGCCAUGUUUAAAUUGGCCGGAUUUGGCAUCAGCGGGGUCACAGAGUGGCGGGCCUCAUUGCGUGUUUCUUCGACAUUGCCUUUAAUGUUAACUGCUUUACGUGGGUCGGUGAAAAUCCAGGGGCUACUGUGAGGGAGUGGUCGGUGGGACGUGAGGGUGGGGUUUUGCCCGAAUUAAAAAUGGCCGCCGCCAGUGCCACCCCGCGCAGUUUCACGUCAGAUUUUGGAGUAAGGCGAACAGGCGCCACUGGAAGAGCUAGUCCUGGAAACUGUCCGGCGGGGGCGGUGUCCACGCCUCAUCUUCUAGCUGCCGACCUGGAGGCUUUGUGCGAGAAAGUGAAGAAGCACUUCGAGACAGAUUUCAAUCAGCAGAGACUUCUCCAGUGUUUUCGCCCGGCCAUGACAGUCAAAUGGAAGGCUCACCUGACUCUGCCCUUGGCAAGGACUUUUUCUCCUCUUGCCCUUGCCUCUCCUGAUCAGUUCGAGAUAAAAACAAGCCUGCCUCAGCUUCCCUGCAUACAUUCAUCUGUUGGGAAAGAGGGAAGCGUAAGCCUUCCCAGACCUCUGGCGUUUAAGCAACCAAAGUGAACACUGAAGAGGAAAGAGAGAAAGAAAAGACCACAAAAGUAAAACCCUCUUUUCAAUUGCUGGCCAAUGAUCCUUCUCCCUGUUCUUUCCACUUUGUCUCCAACACGCAUCAAUCUCCAACAAAGCAAUCUUUAAAUGUAAAUGGAAUUGCUGAAGGAAGAAAGAAAUGUUAGGAGAUGAGUUAUUCUAACUACUGUGGCUGUAUAAUUCUGGGUGAGUCCACUGUUCUUCAGGAAAAUCGAAAG
rnacentral:lncRNA from 1 species